rnacentral:rRNA from 1 species
UCAAGUAGAAAAGGGCGCACGGUGAAUGCCUAGGCACUAAAAGCCGAUGAAGGACGUGACGAACUACGAAAAGCUUCGGGGAGCGGUAAGUACGCUAAGAUCCGGAGAUGUCCGAAUGGGGGAACCCAAUGCAGCGAUGCAUUAUUGAAUGAUGAAUAGAUAGUCAUUCAAAGGAAUACGCAGUGAACUGAAACAUCUAAGUAGCUGCAGGAAGAGAAAGAAAAAUCGAUUUCCUUAGUAGCGGCGAGCGAAGAGGAAAGAGCCCAAACCAAGUGAUUUAUCAUUUGGGGUUGUAGGACUGCGACGUGGCAGCGUAAGUGAUAGCAGAAUUAUCUGGGAAGGUAAGCCAGAGAGGGUGAGAGCCCCGUAAGCGAAAUUGCAAGCGCGCCUAGCAGAAUCCUGAGUAGGCCGGGACACGAGGAAUCCCGGUUGAAACCGCGAGGACCAUCUCGCAAGGCUAAAUACUAAUUAGUGACCGAUAGUGAACCAGUACCGUGAGGGAAAGGUGAAAAGAACCCCGGAAGGGGAGUGAAAGAGAACCUGAAACCGUGUGUCUACAAGUAGUCAAAGCACAUUAAAGUGCAAUGGCGUGCCUUUUGUAGAAUGAACCGGCGAGUUACGUUAACUAGCGAGGUUAAGUCAGAAAAGACGGAGCCGGAGCGAAAGCGAGUCUGAAUAGGGCGAGAAGUUAGUUGACGUAGACCCGAAACCAAGUGACCUACCCAUGACCAGGCUGAAGGUGUGGUAAAACGCACUGGAGGGCCGAACCCACGUAAGUUAAAAAUUGCGGGGAUGAGUUGUGGGUAGCGGUGAAAUUCCAAACGAACUUGGAGAUAGCUGGUUCUCUCCGAAAUAGCUUUAGGGCUAGCCUCGUGGAGAGGAUAAUGGAGGUAGAGCUCUGUUUGGACUAGGGGCCCGUCAGGGGUUACUGAAUCCAGAUAAACUGCGAAUUCCAUAUAUCCAUACACGGGAGUCAGACUGCGAGUGAUAAGAUCCGUAGUCGAAAGGGAAACAGCCCAGAUCACCAGUUAAGGUCCCCAAAUCUAUGCUAAGUGGAAAAGGAUGUGGAGUUGCGUAGACAACUAGGACGUUGGCUCAGAAGCAGCCAUCAUUCAAAGAGUGCGUAAUAGCUCACUAGUCGAGUGGCGCUGCGCCGAAAAUUUACCGGGGCUAAGCAUAGUACCGAAACUGUGGAUGUGUUUUAAAGAGCACGUGGUAGGAGAGCGUUCUAAGUGCGGCGAAGGCUAAUCGAGAGGAUAGUUGGAGCGCUUAGAAGUGAGAAUGCCGGUAUGAGUAGCGAAAGAUAGGUGAGAAUCCUAUCCGCCGAAAGACUAAGGUUUCCUGGGGCAGGCUCGUCCGCCCAGGGUAAGUCGGGACCUAAGGCAAGGCCGAGAGGCGUAGUCGAUGGAUAACAGGUAGAGAUUCCUGUACUGUGUUCAAUCGUUAUGAGCAAUGGAGGGACGCAGGAGGCGAAACACGCAUCGAGCUGGAUCGAUGUUCAAGCAGCGAGUGCGGUUAAGAGUCAAAUGCUUCUAACCAGCAACAUGAGCUGUGAUGAGUAGCGAAGUAAAAGUAGCGAAGGUGAUGUAGUCACACUGCCAAGAAAAGCUUCUAGCCAGAGAGAACAUACCCGUACCGCAAACCGACACAGGUAGUCGAGUGGAGAACACUAAGGUGAGCGAGAGAACUCUCGUUAAGGAACUCGGCAAAAUGACCCCGUAACUUCGGAAGAAGGGGUGCUGGCCAUGAGAGUGGUUAGCCGCAGUGAAUAGGCCCAAACAACUGUUUAUCAAAAACACAGGUCUCUGCAAAAUCGUAAGAUGACGUAUAGAGGCUGACACCUGCCCGGUGCUGGAAGGUUAAGAGGAGAGCUUAGCGCAAGCGAAGGUUUGAAUUGAAGCCCCAGUAAACGGCGGCCGUAACUAUAACGGUCCUAAGGUAGCGAAAUUCCUUGUC